AUAUGUAUAUAAGAAAUCCAACAAUGUUCCUUAAUUUGUGCAUUUUCUUGUUUACUUUACCACCGAAUGUAUUACAUGGGAUAGAAUACAAGCACUGUUGCACCAUAGUUAGGUGUGCAUACUGGUAUAGUGUAAUGACAACAAACCCUCACUCUAUUUGGUUGAUCUAUGGUUGCUGUGCUGUACACACAUUAUCAUAUAGCAUGUCCAACGUGAUAUGCAAAAUCAUUCUUUUUUUCUUCUCACAGUCAAAGAACUGUUUUAAAAACACAAUCUGUGUGUAUUUAUUUAUUGUAUGAUAAUAUUUUAAUAGUGAUGCAGAACAUGGUUAAAACAAUUCAAAAUAGAAACAUACACUCUCUAAGUGUGCCUAAGUUAUCAAAUAGUAUAUCACUAUUAGGUCAAAGAUUAUUGCAUACUCAAACAAUGUUUAACUUCC
rnacentral:lncRNA from 1 species